GGACCCGCACAAGCAGCGGAGCAUGUGGUUUAAUUCGAAGCAACGCGAAGAACCUUACCAGGGCUUGACAUCCCUCUGACCGGUCGGUAACGCGACCUUCCCUACGGGGCAGAGGAGACAGGUGGUGCAUGGUUGUCGUCAGCUCGUGUCGUGAGAUGUUGGGUUAAGUCCCGCAACGAGCGCAACCCUUGUCAUUAGUUGCCAGCGGUUUGGCCGGGCACUCUAGUGAGACUGCCGGGGAUAACUCGGAGGAAGGUGGGGAUGACGUCAAAUCAUCAUGCCCCUUAUGUUCUGGGCUACACACGUGCUACAAUGGCUGGUACAAAGAGAAGCGAGACCGUGAGGUGGAGCAAAUCUCGAAAACCAGUCCCAGUUCGGAUUGUAGGCUGCAACUCGCCUACAUGAAGUCGGAGUUGCUAGUAAUCGCGAAUCAGCAUGUCGCGGUGAAUGCGUUCCCGGGUCUU
rnacentral:rRNA from 1 species